CCUACGGGUGGCAGCAGUGAGGAAUAUUGGUCAAUGGGCGCGAGCCUGAACCAGCCAAGUAGCGUGAAGGAUGACUGCCCUACGGGUUGUAAACUUCUUUUAUAAAGGAAUAAAGUGAGGCAAGUGUGCCUUUUUGUAUGUACUUUAUGAAUAAGGAUCGGCUAAAUCCGUGCCAGCAGCCGCGGUAAUACGUACGAUCCGAGCUUUAUCCGGAUUAAUGGGGUUUAAAGGGAGCGUAGAUGGGUUGUUAAGUCAGUUGUGAAAGUUUGCGGCUCAACCGUAAAAUUGCAAUUGAUACUUGCAGUCUUGAGUACAGUUGAGGUAGGCGUAAUUCGUGGUGUAGCGGUGAAAUGCUUAGAUAUCACGAAGAACCCCGAUUGCGAAGGCAGCUUACUAAACUGUGACUGACAUUGAUGCUCGAAAGUGUGGGUAUCAAACAGGAUUAGAUACCCUAGUAGUC
rnacentral:rRNA from 1 species